AAAAAUAACUUAAAUGUUUCAAACUUGAUAUGUGACAACUUGUUAUAGAGAGAUAAAAAAAGGGUGUAUUUGUGUUAAUCUGUGUUAUAGUUCUGAGGAGAACUCUGAAGUGUUUAAGAGAGUGUGUUUGUAGUCCUGGGGUCUGGCAGGUGUGGGAUGUUGUGCACUGUUGUUCAAUCUCCCGCCAAUAUUGCACUCGUCCCGGCCUCCCUGACCACGAGGAACACGCGACUCCCGCAGUAAUCUCCCGCCACAACAGCCGCUUAUGAAGAGCUCAACCACUAGGGCGGCGCCAGACUGCAGGUUCUCCUCAUCCAGAGUGACACAUACGCUGGGUAAAUCUCUCAUCUUUCCUGGUUGUUUGGCCCCUCGCACACAGGAGUUCAGUGGCCCCACGCUGGGUUUCAGAGGGUCUAGAGAGAGAGACGGAGGGCAUCUCACUCCUCUCACACCUUUAUGUGCAUUAGAACCUGUUUACGGUGUGUAGUGAAGUCCUCUGGAACAGUAUCUGGAAAAUAUAUGUUUCAUUUGCUUUGUGAGUGUGUAGUUUUGUUAUUGUAAUCCUUUUUUUUGUCAAUAAACAACUUUUAUUCAGAA